rnacentral:tRNA from 1 species
GGAGAUGUUGCUGAGCGGUUGAAAGCCUUGGUUUGCUAAAUCAAUCUACAUUUUUAAUUUUAUGUAGCGUGGGUUCGAAUCCUACCAUCUCCA